rnacentral:misc_RNA from 1 species
GAUGAAGAACGUAGUGAAAUGCGAUAAGUAAUGUGAAUUGCAGAAUUCAGUGAAUCAUCGAAUCUUUGAACGCACAUUGCGCCCGCCAGUAUUCUGGCGGGCAUGCCUGUUCGAGCGUCAUUACAACCCUCAGGCCCCCGGGUCUGGCGUUGGGGAUCGGCGGAGCCCCCCGUGGGCACACGCCGUCCCCCAAAUGCAGUGGCGGUCCCGCCGCAGCUUCCAUCGCGUAGUAGCUAACACCUCGCGACUGGAGAGCGGCGCGGCCACGCCGUAAAACACCCAACUCUUCUGAAGUUGACCUCGAAUCAGGUAGGAAUACCCGCUGAACUUAAGCAUAUCAAUAGCGGAGGA